rnacentral:rRNA from 1 species
GACAGAGGGGGCAAGCGUUGCUCGGAAUCACUGGGCGUAAAGGGCGCGUAGGCGGGAUGGCAAGUCAGUCGUGAAAUCUCUCGGCUCAACCGAGAAACGUCGGCUGAUACUGCCGUUCUUGAGGGAUGCAGAGGAGACUGGAAUUCCCGGUGUAGCGGUGAAAUGUGUAGAGAUCGGGAGGAACACCGGUGGCGAAGGCGGGUUGCUGGGCCGACACUGACGCUGAUGCGCGAAAGCGUGGGGAGCGAACAGG